GUGCUUUCUCGUAGCCUAGGGGACCAUCCGCCCGGCUCUGGCUGGUGGCCGUCCGGGCCCGUGUGGGUGUCGCGUGCCUUCCACUGCCAUGGGCGCCAGCGUGCGGCCUCGGGCCCCGCCCCGGGAUUAACGAAACUCCGCGGGGGCGGGAACGCCUCCGCGGGGCCCGAGACCGCAGGGACGGCUUGCAUCCUGGAGGCGGAGGGAACUUGGCCCCACGCGGAUUCCAGGGUGGGGUGAGCGGUUGUAAGAGGCGCCGCGGCCGCCAGAAAAGCCUCGGGGCGCCCGGCCGGUAGCCGGCGCGGUCCUGGGAGUGUGGAAACACCGAAUGAGACUUGUCCGCCUUCUUACUCUUUCUCCAGGGUGUCCCCGGAAAAUGAGAAGCCGCCGGCUUCCGGCGAUCGGGGCAGGGAGAGCACACGCGGUUACUGUCCCCUGCUCCUCCUCGAUGACAUUCGAGUGACCUCGGUUUGGGGGGGUCCAGAAGGACGCCGUCUGACUUCCGCGGCGAUGGAGGCGGUCUGCAUCUGUGCAGUCUGGCCGAGCGGCCGCAGGCCAGAGGCUCGUGAGCACUUGCAGGGCGGCUGGUGUGACUGUGGAGCUGGCUUUUCAAAGGUCAGCCUGCUCCGGGGGGAGCGGCACUCUUCCUCCUCCCCGCUCUGCCCGCGUUGUCCCCGGCGCACAGGUUGAGGGGUAACGACUUCAGCACAUCCAAGCACCGUGGGGCGGAGCGCCACACCUGUCCCUUGGAGGGGUGCGAGGAGCAGCGGUCCGAGACUGGGACCGAGAGAGGGUUCGCCGGACAGCCUGUGUGUCACCUUGGGCAGGUCUGCCGACGGCGUUUCCACCUGGCCCUCCGAGCCUGGAAGGUGGCCGCUCCGCUUCAGGGCCUUCCUUCCGGGUCUGCUCGGGUCCCCCGUGAACCGCGCCGCUGUUGAACGCUGACUGCGUGCGGCCCUGUUUGUGUGGCUGGAAACAAACGGAGCCAGACUCCAGCGAGACUCUGCACGCACUUGAAUGUUUUCUGUGCCGGGCGGUGGCGCGUCUGCGUGUGUCCCCUCUGCUCCUGCGGUGCGUGGGUGGCAGCGCUGUCCCCAGUGAAAGUGACUGACGGAGCGCGUGUGAGCGCUGGGGCCCCGGCCUCCUUGGGGAGCACGAGCCGUCGGGAAACGGGGCACCCGGAGGGAGACGGCCGUCGUCGGGGCAGCCCGGUGGGGAGGGGUGGCCGGGGCAGUUGCGGUGGGUGUUCGCCGUGACAGAGGGAGCACUUCGUGCGGGAUAGGGUUUCCCUGGGCACGACCCCUGACCUCAGAGCUGUCACUUGUGGCCCCCAGGCCCGCCCCCUCUCUGCCCGGCUCUGUUCCUCACCUGCGUGGUGACCCUGCGCCGACCUCUUGCUUCGGCCUGUACGUCGGGCCACGCUUCGCUGCUGCACCGGGGGCACCGCCAGCCCUCUGCGGGGGUGAGCAGCUCCUGGCCUCGGGGCUCUCCUUGCGGCUGCUCGGUGUCACACGCACGCCCUUCGGGCUGCUGGCGCCCUGUGCCCGUCACUGCGUCCGUCAGCAGCCCCGGCCCAGGGACUCACGGGGGAGUGGAACUGUGCGCCCAGCGCACACGUGCACCCCAGGGGCACUAUUGUGACAGUGACAGAGGUUGUGGCCCUGGGGUCGUGGGUGGGUGAUGGGUGGGUGGGCCGUCUUCACAGAAUGGAGUUCUCCCUCGUUCCACGGUCCUUUGACGUUCGCCGUGUGUGGACGUGAACUCAGGAGACACCAGCCGUGGGUGAGCUGCCCCACGGCGGCCGUGGCCACGCUCUCCAUGCUAGCUCGGCAGGGCACCGUAGGCCCGCGAGCGUCUGUGGUGGGCGUAGGCAGGUGAUCCGGGACUUCGGGCCUGCUCGUGACAAACCCAGGGUGCCUGCCCGUCCCCUUCGGCUCCCGUGGGCACAAGUGCCUGCGUGCUCCCCGGGCCCGGAGAGUUGGGGGGGUGCGGGGGUCAGGUCCCAGCUCCGCCGCCGGCCUCAGGCCACGUCCCUGCUCCCCUGGAUUUCUUUGGCAGAAUGGGGACGGCGAGAGUGAUGGUGACCCCCGCCAGAUGGGCACCCGGGACGGGAGCACGUCCUGUCGAGGGCCCAGGGCACUUCGGACGCGCCAGUGCCCGUCAUCUCCUGGGGUCCACCGGGGGUUUGCGGCGGGUUUCCGGCUGCGAACCUGUGGGGCCGCUGCAGGGGAGCGAUGCCGGGGUCCUGGGUGCUCUUUGCGGCGGACGGUGCCUGCCUGCUCCCGAGGGGCGGUGUCCGUGAGCACUCGGCUUUUCCCCCUGUGGCUUUCACAUCCGGGCCACUGACAGUAUGUGCUCGUGCAGGUGCCCCCCUCCCGCCUCCCCCCUUCCCCCAGUGCCUGGCUUCCGAGGGAGGAGGCGGAGUAGCUGCUUGGUAGGUGCCGUGUCAGACGUGGCGUGUGCCGGGGCCAACCGUCCACACUGCCAUUUCUGGAACCGAUGGGUGCCCGGCGCCAUCUCGCUCUCCCGUGUCUUUCCUGAGCCCAGACGGCUGCGGGCGGGGCGUGUCCGUCUGGCCUGGCAGCUGUGGGCCCUGUGUCUGCGGUCGCGGUCCGGCAGGCAGGUCGGCCUUCGGUUCGGUGGGCUCACCAGCAGUGUUCAGGGGCUGGUCCCUCUGAGUGGUCGUGCUGUGUUUCUGUUGUGAUGUGGAUGGUUCGUACUGAGAGAGCCAGGUGUCAUUUACCUGCCUCUGCUCUCUCGUUUGCUGGGACACGGAUCGACUGAGCCAGGUGCCCGAGUGUCCCCAGCGGGUACGCCUGGGCCUGAGGGCGGAGGAGCCUGCCCAGGACAGGGAAGCAAGGGGGAGAAGGGCGGUCCUGGUCACCUGGGCUGGCCAGCUUGCUGCCCUGCCGCGGGCUGUCGGCUUCAGGCCUCCGCUCUGUCUCUGUGCCCACGCCCACACCCACACCCACGGCAGCUGGGUUCUGCACGCUGGGGCGGGUGCUGGCGCCUGCAGAGGUGGGAGGGGGAGGCCCAGAGCCCACAGGGAGCCUCGGAGCCUUUCAUGUGGCUGGUGCCAUCGAGUGUGGCUGCUGGAAUGCUCCCCAGCUGGCAUAGGUGUGGCGACGGCAUCCGCGUUCUCCCCAAGGGCCUCGUAUUUAAAGUAGGCUGCGGCGUGCCGUGGGUGGGCCUCGGCAUUCUCGGCGUCUGCGCUGCUGGGUUACGGGAGAGGGUUGAGGCAGAUGGGAGUGGUCUUCCUGAGAGCUGAUGCUUUUCCCGGCCUCGGUGGAGAAGGCAGAGUGUGGUCCCCAAGAAGUGGUGUUUUGUUUUGUUUUGUUUUUUUCAAGAUUUUAUUUAUUUUUUUUAGAGAGGGAAAGAGAGGGAGAAAGAAAGAGAGAAUCAAUGUGUGGUUGCCUCUCACAUGGCCCCCACUGGGGACCUGGCCUGCAAACCAGGCCUGUGCCCUGACUGGGAAUCAAACCUGCGAUGCUUUGGUUCGCAGCCCGCCCUCAAUCCACUGAGCUACGCCAGCCGGGGCAAGAAGUGGUGUUUUACUGUUAGAAUCGUCUCACUGUGAAAACUUGCUAUGGGACGGCACAGGCCUGGAGCAGAAAACUUAAAAAUGGGACUCAAGAACAGAGCGGAUCAAGAUCUCAAACUUCUCUCUUUGUCCACUAGAGGGUGCAGGCUCGCACCGGACUGGGAUCUCUUUUGUAACUCGGUACAGAGUUGGGUUUUGUUGCGGGGGAGGGUUUGUUGUUUUUUGUAUUUUAGCCAAGACCUUACUUCACUGGAAAGUUAUGCUGAAAGCUAAUCUGUGGAGUUGGGCUCUUAGGAAUCUGCCAGGGUGUCCCCAUCACUCCCAGGUCCUGGGGCGUGCUCACUAUGUCGCAGGGGCCUGCCGACCCGAAUGCUGUCCCAGAACACGGCCGGGCACGUGGCACGUGGGGAGACGAGCACAUUCUGAGGCAACUUUUCAUUGAGGUUCUCUGCCGGCGACAACAGCUGGUGGUGCUCCGUGGGAAGGAUUUUCUUUGGCAAGGGGCUGGUGCCGCACGUUGCCGGCGUCUGAAGUCCUGGCCAAGCAUGCUAAGGGUUCACAAGGGUUUCGGAGCAGCCAGAAUGUCGCUCGUCCCGACACGGAGCAGAACCUAUCCAGGCUGAACCAGGUUUGUCCGAGCCCGCGUGGCUCUGAUGGCUGGUGGGCGCCCGCUAGGAAAGUGCCCUUAGACUGGAAAGGGGGGGGUACGCGUCUGGAAGUGAAAUCUGGGUGGGGCGCCAACGUCCUCUGGUUUCGGAGCCUGGUGGCAGCUUUCUGGGGGUUCAGCUUUCCCAGGCUGUCAUCCCCCCAGCCUCCGGAGGACAUUUGGGAUGUUGGGUCCUUUUGGGUGGUUCUGCUUUUAGGCAGAUAGGGGGAACUCAGGGAGGAAAAAAAAAACUCAUUCUGGACCCCUUUCUCAGCCUUUUAAAAUCUCACUACUAGGAAUCCAGGAACUCACCCUCUGCUCCCCUCCUUCCAAGGAAGGGGAAAUUGAAAUGAUGCAGCCCCGCCCCGGAAUCAGGGGAGAAGCAGGCUCCAGGCUGGACCUUCCCCCCACCCCCUCCACCCGCACCCCCUGGGCAGCCAGCAGUCCCCCUCCACACCAGAGCAAUGGUUUGGGGGUCGCCUGCAAACCAGGCGUGCCAUGGACCAUUGGGGACCCCGUCACUGAGGUGUUGGAGAAAAGCAGCCGCUGUGUGUCGAGUUUAGUGACUCAAGAUUCUGGGGCAGGAUGGAGAGUCUUAGUUGACGCAGCUGCCCACGCUGGAGGCCCGUGGUGGGUGGGAAGUGGGCAAAGGCUACGGAGAAAUCAGCCUCCACUAAGGACCACUCGGCCCACACUGGGUGCGCUGUGCUUCCCCCUCCUCUCUCUCGGGAAGGUUCCUCACUCGCGAUCGUUACUUUCUCCGCCUCACGGGCGGAGGCCCGGCCACGGGCCUCACGGGCGUACGUUGCUGCCGGAGUCCCCGCUAGUGGGAGCCGGGAUGUAAGAGGGGGCCGCACCCGAGUCUGCAACCGCAUCGGACGAAGACUCUGUCACAGAGAAGAGCCUGACUUUCGUUAGCUGGUGUUAAGCUAACGACAUAUAUAAGAUUAAAGUGUUUUAAAUACAGA